GCAGGCACAAUGAUGACUUUUAUUUUUGCCGUUUACCCAACAGAAUGUUUGUGGUGAUAUUUUAAAUUCUGAAAUGCCUGG